rnacentral:misc_RNA from 1 species
AGGAAAUGAAGGGCCAGAUCUUGGGACCUUGCAUAAUGGUAUUCCAUGGCUAUUGACUGUUGCUGCAGGGACUAUUGAUCGCUCAUUUGCUGGGACUUUAACUCUAGGCAAUGGCCAAACCAUCAUUGGAUGGACUUUGUUCCCAGCUAAUGCGUUGGUUAAUAAUCUACCGCUGGUUUACAACAAGACCUUUUCAAAAUGCAACUCCACUGAGCUGUUAUCUCAAGCUCGGUUUGGCAUCAUCUUGUGUGACGAUAUUGGGGGUGUUUUUGAUCAAAUAAAUGCUAUUGCAGCCUCUCCAAAUGUGGCUGCUGCUAUUUUCAUUUCAAAUGAUCCAACUUUGUUUGAAUUAGGUGGUGUUUAUAGUCCUUCCGUUGUGCUUAGCCCUCGUGAUGCACCGGCAGUCAUUAAAUAUGCCACAACUGAUGAGAAUCCUUCCGCUAGCAUGAAGUUCCAGCAAACCAUUCUGGGCACAAAGCCUGCGCCGGCUGCAGCUUCUUACACUUCGAGAGGACCCUCACCGAGCUAUCCUUACAUUUUGAAGCCGGAUAUAAUGGCACCUGGUUCUUUAGUUUUGGCAUCUUGGGUUCCAAAUGGCUAUUCAGCUCAAAUUGGGUUGAACAUAUACUUGUCUAGUGAUUUCAAUAUGGUCUCUGGCACAUCGAUGGCUUGUCCUCAUGCUUCUGGCCUGGCUGCGCUCCUGAAAGGUGCUCACCCUGAAUGGAGUCCUGCAGCUAUUCGGUCUGCCAUGAUGACCACUGCAAACCCAUUAGAUAACACUGAAAAUCCAAUCAUAGACAACGGUGCUGAAAAGUUCGCAUACGCGUCUCCUUUAGCUAUGGGAGCUGGCCAAAUUGAUCCUAAUCGAGCACUGGACCCAGGUCUGAUUUAUGAUGCCACCCCACAAGACUACGUAAAUCUCCUAUGCUCCAUGAAUUACACAAAAAAUCAAAUUUUGGCUAUUACAAGAUCAAACAGUUACAAUUGUUCAAACCCAUCUCCUGAUCUCAAUUACCCAUCCUUUAUCGCUUUGUAUGAUAACAAAACAAGAUCAGUGUUGGUCCAGAAGUUUCAGAGGACAGUAACAAAUGUGGGAGAAAAUGCGGCAACUUAUAACGCUAAGGUCACUGCACCAAAGGGUUCGAUAAUUACCAUCUCACCAACGACCUUGGUGUUUGGUAAAAUAUAUGAAAAGCAAAGCUAUAGUCUUACUAUAAAGUACAAAGGGGACAAGAAAAUGAGUGUCCAGUUUGGUUCCCUUGUUUGGACAGAAGAGAAUGGGUUUCACACUGUUAGGAGCCCCAUUGCAAUUUCCCCUCUGGUAAUUGCUUGAGGAGUUGUCAGCAUUAUUGUUUAAUGUAUCGGCAAACCAAUGAACCUUAUGUGUAAUAUCAAAACAAA